rfam:Bat coronavirus HKT2, complete genome
GACUUAAAGAUAUAAUCUAUCUGUCGAUAGAGUCCUUAUCUUUUUAGACUUUCCAGUCUACUCUUCUCAACUAAACGAAAUUUACGUCUUUUUGUGUAUGCUACGCAUGCACAAUUAGAUGUGUAUUUGAGAUUUCGUUCCAGGUUGCCAGCCUUGUGUAACAAGUGUCGUGCUUCUAGGGGUUGCACUUGACGUGUUCCGUCACGUACUUGUGUCCUUAGUUGCCCCACGCUGUUCUGUCAGUGUGGUGUGUGGAUAUAGUGUUCCGUCACUAUUGAAACCGAUAACUGUGCACAAUGUCUAUCAACCAAUUGACACUU